GUGGGAGGUCAAGGGUUCGAGUAGUGGGGGAGGCGACCUAAUUUCCAAAGGGAAAUUUGGGCCAAAUCCACUUGGGGAAGGAUGCAUUCGAUGCAAGAACCCAAGGGGACAAAUCCUGCCAGGAACCCGUGAGGGUGAAUGGAUGUUAAGAGCUGUUCACGACGCCAGUGGAAAGCCCGAGGUGGCGAGAGGGCCAGGCGAGGGAUAGCCCUGGGCCGUGAACGGUAACAGUGCCGGGGAUCACGUCCGGGC
rnacentral:lncRNA from 1 species